rnacentral:rRNA from 1 species
AGGGAAUCUUCCGCAAUGGACGAAAGUCUGACGGAGCAACGCCGCGUGAGUGAUGAAGGUUUUCGGAUCGUAAAACUCUGUUGUUAGGGAAGAACAAGUACCGUUCGAAUAGGGCGGUACCUUGACGGUACCUAACCAGAAAGCCACGGCUAACUACGUGCCAGCAGCCGCGGUAAUACGUAGGUGGCAAGCGUUGUCCGGAAUUAUUGGGCGUAAAGCGCGCGCAGGCGGUUUCUUAAGUCUGAUGUGAAAGCCCACGGCUCAACCGUGGAGGGUCAUUGGAAACUGGAAGACUUGAGUGCAGAAGAGGAGAGUGGAAUUCCACGUGUAGCGGUGAAAUGCGUAGAGAUGUGGAGGAACACCAGUGGCGAAGGCGACUCUCUGGUCUGUAACUGACGCUGAGGCGCGAAAGCGUGGGGAGCAAAC